GUCCCUGUCGAUUAGUGGUUAAAUCAUCACGUUGUGGAAUCCACAGAGCCGUGGGGCCGCAGGUUCAAUUCCUGCCAGGGACA
rfam:Paxillus involutus ATCC 200175 unplaced genomic scaffold PAXINscaffold_3, whole genome shotgun sequence.